rnacentral:rRNA from 1 species
GAUGAACGCUGGCGGCGUGCCUAAUACAUGCAAGUCGAGCGAACAGAUGAUGCGCUUGCUCCUCUGACGUUAGCGGCGCACGGGUGAGUAACAUGUGUAUAAUCUACUUAUCAGACUGGGAUAACCUCGGGACACCGGCGCUAAUACCGGAUAAUAUAUUGAACCGCAUGGUUCAAUAGAGAAAUUCGGUUUUUCUGUCUCUUAUCGAUGCUUCCCCGCGUCAUUAGCUAGUUGGUAAGGUAACGGCUUACCACGGCAACCAUGCGUAAACGACCUGAGAGGGGGAUCGGCCACAUUAGAGCUGAAACAGGGUCAAGGCGCCUACGGGAGGCAGCAGUAGGGAAUCUUCCGCAAGAGGGGAGAGCAUGACGGAGCAACGCCGCGUGAGAGAUGAAAGUCUUCCGAGCGUAAAAACCUGUUACGAGGGAAGAACAAAUUUGUAAGUAGAUGAGGACGUCUUGACGGUAACUAAUAAGGAAGCCACGGCUAACUACGUG